UGGACCACAUAACAGUCACAAUGACUGGUGGCAUAUGAGUUGUAGGUGAUGAAAAGAAGUAUCUGAAACACUGAGAUCCAG
ensembl:snoRNA